rnacentral:rRNA from 1 species
UGAGGAAUAUUGGGCAAUGCCCGAAAGGGUGACCCAGCAACGCCGCGUGGAGGAUGAAGGUCGUAAGAUUGUAAACUCCUGUUAGAGGGGAAGAAUAACUAAGUUUGGAGCUUAGUAUGACUGUACCCUCAGAGAAAGCCCCGGCUAACUACGUGCCAGCAGCCGCGGUAAUACGUAGGGGGCAAGCGUUGUCCGGAUUUACUGGGUGUAAAGGGCGCGCAGGCGGAAUGGAAAGUCAGUGGUGAAAUCCUACAGCUUAACUGUAGAACUGCCUUUGAUACUUUCAUUCUUGAGUUCGGGAGAGAGAGACGGAAUUCCAGGUGUAGUGGUGAAACACGUAGAUAUCUGGAAGAACACCAGUUGCGAAGGCGGUCUCUUGGUCCGAUACUGACGCUGAGGCGCGAAAGCGUGGGGAGCAAACA